GUGGCUGGGGACCUGCGGGAGGAGCCCGGGGAGGUCGCCCUCCCUGCCUCGCCUGCCCUUGGCACCUGAUCAGGCCCGAGUAUGGGGCAGCCGCCGGCAGAACCUACAACUUGGGUGUUCGACCCUGAGAAGGGUCAGGGAAAGGAUAUCUGCUAUGCAACCCCUUGUAAGGGUUGUUUGGUGGAGAAGACUACACACCGUAUACUGCUGACUCCCUACAACCAGAAAGAACACAAAUCUUCACAUUAAUGCGACUUUUGCAUGAAUCAUCUUUGGAAAGAUACAGAUGUGUAGGAUUCGACUUGAAUGCAAAGCUGUGCCGUUAUAUGUGGAAGGCAGUUAAUGGUAAAGAUGCUCGAGUCCUUUGGUGAAUAGCACUGUGCUGCUUUGUGUUCACUGACAUUUUGAAAGAAACGAGGAUCACCUGGGAAGAGAGGCUUACUGAAGACUUAUCUGGGUUACAUUGGCCUGUGGGCAUGUCUGCAGGGGACUGUCUGGAUUGUUGAUUGAUGUUGGAAGAACCACCUCACCGAACCACCUCACCGUGGGCAGCACUAUUCCCUAGGCUGGGCCCUGAACUGCACAGAGGUAAAGAAAGCUAGCUGACCUCAAAUGGAAGGGAAGGGAGGAGGACUGAUGGGUUUAUCCUCUACGCUCUUGACUGUAGAUAAGAUGCUUGAAGUUCCUGCCUUAGUGUCCUCACAAUAACAGACUGGAACUUGGAAUUGUAAGCUGAAUAAUGUUCCCGUUCUCCUGA